rnacentral:rRNA from 1 species
GAUGAACGCUGGCGGCGUGCCUAACACAUGCAAGUCGAACGGAGUUGUCACCAUGAAGUUUUCGGAUGGAUUGGUAACAACUUAGUGGCGGACGGGUGAGUAACGCGUGGGUAACCUGCCUCAUACUGGGGGAUAACAGCUGGAAACGGCUGCUAAAACCGCAUAAGAUCGCAUCACCGCAUGGUGAGGCGGUUAAAUAUCGAAAGAUAGGUAUGAGAUGGGCCCGCGUCUGAUUAGCUAGUUGGUGAGAUAAGAGCCCACCAAGGCGACGAUCAGUAGCCGGCUUGAGAGAGUGACCGGCCACAUUGGGACUGAGACACGGCCCAAACUCCUACGGGAGGCAGCAGUGGGGAAUAUUGCACAAUGGGGGAAACCCUGAUGCAGCGACGCCGCGUGAGUGAAGAAGUGCUUCGGCAUGUAAAGCUCUAUCAGCAGGGAAGAAGAUGACGGUACCUGACUAAGAAGCCCCGGCUAACUA